AACUAAACAAAUAAGAAAAAAAAACAAGUAAAACAAAAGCUUAUCCUAAAGACAAUUAAAAACUAGAUAAAGAAAUCCGAAAACAUAUCACUACUAUCAAUUAAUGUAAUUCUAAUGUUAACCAAAGAAAAUAAAACAAAACACACAAAAGAUAUAUCAUAUUCCAUUCGAGAGAAUAAAAACAUAAAAAUACCUACAAACCGUAAUACAAAAAGGAAAAUAUCACAACUAAACAGUGCAAUACUCUAGUAUCCAAAUAAGGAUCGUCUAUUCGGAAAAUAGAAAUAAUAAACAUAUAUUAUACUAACACUAGAAACAAUUCUGAAGAAAAACACUCACUAAUACAUUUACAAUGUAAAUUUCUAAACCUUAAAAUAUUCAGAAAAAUCA
rnacentral:tRNA from 1 species